rnacentral:rRNA from 1 species
AGAGUUUGAUCCUGGCUCAGAACGAACGCUGGCGGCGUGCCUAACACAUGCAAGUCGAACGGAUUUGAGGAGCUUGCUUCUCAAGUUAGUGGCGCACGGGUGAGUAACGCGUAGAUAAUCUGCCUGAUGAUCUGGGAUAACACUUCGAAAGGGGUGCUAAUACCGGAUAAGCCCACGGGAUCUUUGGAUCUUGCGGGAAAAGGGGGGGACCUUCGGGCCUUCCGUCAUCAGAUGAGUCUGCGUACCAUUAGCUAGUUGGUAGGGUAAAGGCCUACCAAGGCGACGAUGGUUAGCUGGUCUGAGAGGAUGAUCAGCCACACUGGAACUGAGACACGGUCCAGACUCCUACGGGAGGCAGCAGUGGGGAAUUUUGCGCAAUGGGGGAAACCCUGACGCAGCAACGCCGCGUGAGUGAUGAAGGCCCUUGGGUCGUAAAGCUCUGACAGAGGGAAAGAAGUGUAGAGUGGCUAAUAUCCACAUUACUUGACGGUACCCUCAAAGGAAGCACCGGCUAACUCCGUGCCAGCAGCCGCGGUAAUACGGGGGGUGCAAGCGUUGUUCGGAAUUAUUGGGCGUAAAGAGCGUGUAGGCGGCCUGAUGUGUCAGAUGUGAAAGCCCUGGGCUUAACCCAGGAAGUGCAUUUGAAACUGUCAGGCUCGAGUAGGGGAGAGGGAAGUGGAAUUCCUGGUGUAGAGGUGAAAUUCGUAGAUAUCAGGAGGAACACCGGUGGCGAAGGCGACUUCCUGGCCCUAUACUGACGCUGAGACGCGAGAGCGUGGGUAGCAAACAGGAUUAGAUACCCUGGUAGUCC